rnacentral:rRNA from 1 species
AUGGAGCCAGCCGUAAUCACAGCAGCGCCGCCGGCCUCGGCGGCCACGCGGCUCCUCCCCACGUCCAUCGGCGGAGGCGGGGACAGGGGCGGCGGUCGCUCCGAUGGAGGAGGAGGCGGCGGCGGCGGAGGAGGAGGAGACUCUGGUGCCGGCGCUGCAGCGGCGAUGGCGCUCGUCGAGGCCGGGAUGCUGGACGGCAGCGACGUCAUCCUGCUCCACGUCGGGGGUAUGUCGUGCGGCGGAUGCGCCGCCAAAGUGAAGCGGAUUCUCGAGAGCCAGCCUGAGGUUGCUUCUGCCACGAUCGACUUGGCCAAGGCGGCCGCGGUGGUGCGGACAACACCGGAAGCCAUGGCGACCAAGGACUGGCACAAGGAACUUGGGGAGAAGCUUGCAAAUCACCUAAGAAAUUGUGGAUUUGAAUCUCAUAUGCUUGGUACGGGUUUGUGCUUUUCUGUCUUCCAAGUUUCGAUCCAGUUAGAUGAUGCAUGUGGUUUGAGUUCAAUAGGUACAUUUACAUUACCGUACGUGUCAGCACUUGUUUUAUACAGCAAAUGGCCUUCUCUAAUUCUCUUGGAAACUCAAGUGCGCGUGUCUUUCCCAUUUGCAGAUGAAGCCGAACAAAGUUGA